AAGAUCCUAAAAGGGAAUUCAAAGAAGGGGUCAAAAGAUGCUAAACCUAUAAUCCGGACCGGUACCUGCAAAAGAUUUUUCAAUACCUUUCAUCCACCACAAAUUGGCAAAGAUGAUGAUGACAAUAAUGAAGAUGUUGUAGAUUCAACAGCUUUUAUGCUAUGUUGCCGUACCCGUAUCAGAUACUCAAAAAAUGCACUACUUUUGGAGGAUUUGACACAGACCUGUCUAUAUUUCUGAAGAGUUGGAGCAACAAAGCUAUGAUUUUGUUCAAUUACGCUAAGAGUGCCAUAGCAUAAUUUGAAGAAGGUCAGCAUGGAGAAUGUCCUCCAAAGUGCAAACAGCAGUUUGUAUUUUGUCCGAUAGCUGGUUGAAGAAAUGGAAUGAAAAUGGUGGAUCUUGAAACAACAUUUGGUUUCCAAUCUUUGAGCUUCUGCAACUCAGUUUUGUGGCCUUCAGCUAAUGUAGUUACAUCAGCUCUUACAAUGCCGGCAUCAGUUAGUUUUCUUGGACUUGGACUCGGACUCGUUCUCAGCACAGGCUCCACACAGCUAAUCGUUUAUUUAUUAUACAGCUCAGUGAACAUUCUUUCUUUCUUGUUAAAAUUAUUAGAUGUGACAGAUCAUGAAAUUUUCUUGAUGAUCUUUAGUGCUUUCCCAUCAAUAAAGAGAAUUUCAAAGGUCUUGCAAUCUUUUUUAUACUUUGGACAAUCCCUAUAAAGCAGUAAUUUAAUUUGUUUACU